UACGAGGGGGGCGAGCGUUGUUCGGAAUUAUUGGGCGUAAAGGGUGCGUAGGCGGUUUGGUAAGUCUGAUGUGAAAUCUAUCGGGGCUCCAACUCAUAGUCUGCAUCGGAAACUAUCUGGCUUGAGUGUGGGAGGAGGUGAGUGGAAUUCCUGGUGUAGCGGUGAAAUGCGUAGAUAUCAGGAGGAACACCUGUGGCGAAAGCGGCUCACUGGACCGACAACUGACGCUGAGGCGCGAAAAGCUAGGGGUAGCAAACGGG
rnacentral:rRNA from 1 species